AUUACUCCUACGGGAGGCAGCAGUGGGGAAUUUUGGACAAUGGGCGAAAGCCUGAUCCAGCCAUGCCGCGUGCAGGAUGAAGGCCUUCGGGUUGUAAACUGCUUUUGUACGGAACGAAAAGACUCCUUCUAAUAAAGGGGGUCCAUGACGGUACCGUAAGAAUAAGCACCGGCUAACUACUGCCAGCAGCCGCGGUAAUA
rnacentral:rRNA from 1 species